CUCUACUCUCGGACACGACGCAGCCUGGGCUGCUUCUCCCCCUCCCUCUUGGGAGUUUGCGGUGUGAACGCACAGCGAGCACAGAUCCACUUGGGACCGUACCCACGCUUAAUCUGUCUGGAAUGGGGUCAUGGAAUCAGUUGCCUUGAUUGAGCUGUGCUGCCUGUCUGUGGGGCGGAGGCCCAGUGCCUCUCACCAAAGCCCGCUGCCCAGGAGGAUGAGAACACUCUCUCCAUUGCUGCUCUCCUGACUGUGUGUCUGGCCAGGGUCCUUUCAUUUCACUCUGCCGGAGAACCCAGCAAUCAAACUCAUGUCACUCUGCAGUCAAAUUCGAAGUCUGUGAAAAUACAACCAAGAGAACAUUCUUCAGCCUGAAGGGUUGAGGCUCUCACCGAAAGGACUCUCAAGCUGAUUUCUGGCAUCUCGACAACAGAAGAAGGAACCUGUUUAUCCCAAGGUUGAACACAGAACAUAAAAUUCCUCUUCUUUUCUCGUGGCUUCGUACUCUGCCAGGAUGAGCAAUGUGACAGGAAAAAGCAUGACACCCCCCCCAAAAAAGCGAUAAACUAGACAAUAGAUUUCACAAAUAAAAAUAUUGCAUGGAGCAUAAACCUAAAAAUGAUUUGUUGUUGAUGGGAAAUUCAGAUUUAACUGGGCCCCGCAUCCUUUAUCUGCAACUCCAACACAACAUCCCUUGGUAGCCUCACAGAUGUUUUGUGGCACAUGUAAGGGAUGAGAGAGUCUGAAAGAAAAUGUGAGCUGCAACAGUACAUUACAGCCUUACUGGAUUUCUUUUGGAACAGGAGAGGCAGAAAGACAUGAGCAGAGCCUAGAUGGAGCAAGAGCACUUGGAAGUGCAAGGGCAGCUUUUCUAUAGCCAGACAGCUCUUGGCCUUGGGUUUUCUCACAGUUCCAAGUUCCAUGUUCCUGUUUCUAGCCCUUGGCCAUGGAAGCCCACCCUGCAGGAGGGAUGGGCACUCACCUCCAGCUCCACUCCCAGGGCCCGUGGGGGAACAUCUGAGACACAGAACUCAGCAGCACUUUCAAGAACUUCAGCUUGGAAGCAGGGUAGUAAAUUCAUGCUAGCGUCAAGGUCAUGAUCAAGCCCUUUCUUAUGUUUCUGAAUGGUGUCAAAGAGUUCAAGCCCAGAAGCUUUCACUACAGAGGAAAGGAAAUGAGGAAGAGUCUACAGCACACUCCUUAGAGCCGGUCAGAUGGGGGCCUCUCCCUCCGUCCUGGAGAGAUGACGCGUGGCGAGAGCAGACUGCACUCCGCCUUCAGCUUCCAUCAUUCUCAACAUUACAGAUCACCGGGCUCCAUCAAAAAUACAAAAACAAAUCACCAUGCUCUCGAUUAGAGACCAACCAGGGUUGUUUUCUCUAAUAAGUGAGUUCAUUUUUGUACAUUCCAUUUUCCCCUACCAGCCUGCGUUUUCUACCAUUUUCCAUGUACCCUAUUAAAGCUAGAUGGUGUGUCUUAUAAAGUAAUUGAGGUCUCAGAUGAGAAACUGGGGUGCGUUGGCAGGCCUGAGAGCAGAUCAAAGCUGAGCUAGGAAAGGGGUUGGCAGAGAGGGCUCCAUCGGUGGAAUAGCCCUAGACAGCCGACGGCUAAAUUUGCCCUCCAUUCCCCAAAGGUAUCCUAAAUGUCCACACUCAGGUCCCUCCUGUUAUUUCUUAUCAUCUACAAGCACUGUGGAGAGAUGGACUUGUCCUACUGAGAGCUAAUAGGAGCUCACAUGUCUGAUCUUCUUUCAGAAUUAAUUGUGCUAUGAGCUGCUGCAGGUACCCAGCAGGAAAGAAGAAACAGACAAGGAAGUUUUUUUCAAAAAUAAAGAAACAUUCGAGUUCAAGAUCGGUGCUGGGGUGAAUUGUCUCUGACUCAUCCACAAAGCAUUUUCUGAAACACCUGUUGUGUGUCCAGCUCUUGGAUUCCUGCCUUUAUUCACUUAACAGGUAUUUCUUGAGCACCUACUAUGUUUAGCUACCAUUCUAGGCACAGGGGAUAGAGUGGGGAACAGUGUGAACAGAGUUCCUCUCUCUUAGAGGGGGGUGGGCAGAAAAUGAGCAAAUAAGCACACAAGGGAGACAAUUUCAAAACUUGAUGAGUGUUACAAAGAAAUUCAAAGCGGGCUCUGUGACUGGUCAGAAGGAGCUGGAAGAGGGUCAUUGAGACUGGGUCUCCAGGGAAGGGUCACCACGGAGGAACAUGUAUACUGAGGAGCUGAAAAAAAAGCUGACCAUUUGAAAGUAAGGAUGUGGCCUUACUCGCCUAUAAUUCAGUUAGAUUUCAUCCAGAAAUCAUCAGUGAGCAACUCCAGGCAAGAGAGAGUAAAUCUCUAAUGCUAGAGGACUUUAGAAGAAAAUGAUAACUGGGGAGAAAAAAAAAACCAAAAACACAACGAGUUAAGGAACACUUAACGGAUGCGGAACCUACCCUGGACCUGGAAGAGAUUUGGAUUAAGUGGCUAUGUGGAAUGAAGGUAUGGAGCUGGGCAGGUGAGCAGUAAUGGACAUGACCUCCCCAGGAGUAGGGGCCGAGAAUGCUAUUGGCGGACCUACCAAGACGCUUUCAACUGGAGGGGACCUUUAGGUACUCUGGGCUCUUUCUCCUCAAGGUGUGGUCUGUGGACCAGUAGCAGCAUCACCUGGAAGCUUGCUAGAAAUGCAAAAUCUGGGUCUCCAUCCCAAACCUGCUGAAUCAGAAUCUGCCUUUUAACCAGAUGACCUGUGUGCACGGCAAAGUCCGUGAAACCCUGCGCUAGUCCGGACUCCCACUUUAGGGACGAGGGACCAGAAUCUACCCCAUCUCCAUCUUGGUGUGCAUGUGAGCCUGCACGCGUGACACACGGAGAAUUCUGCUUUUAACUGUUAGUUUCAGUAAUGAACCCAGAGGUGUAUAACAUCUGUGGCCAAAUAUGUACUUCUUACAUAGGGCAGCUAGCCUGGUCUUUGGCUCAAAUAGAAGAGGCAAGUUAAAACCUGGUCACUUUGCAGGUUUAUGCAUCUAUUGAAAAAAAAACCAGUCUGUUGGAUUUGAGUCCUGCAUCCAGCUUUCUAAAAGAUCAAAUAACUCUGUUCUUGGAUUACCCUUUGGAUUAAGACCACUUAUACUCCAGUAACUUGGCCCCUUCUAGCCAUGUGAUACUGAGCAAGUGACCUAAGCAUCUGGAUGUAGUUGUUUGUCUAUAAAGGGUAAUUUAGGACCCCUCUCUUUUAAGGUUGUUGUGAGGAAGAAAUGAGAUCAUUGGUGGCAGGUUGGAGGAUUAGUUGUGGAGAAAAGUCGUCCUGGUCCCCCAUUCCCUCUGCCACCCCUAAAUAAACAUAUAGUAGCAACAA